rnacentral:rRNA from 1 species
AUGUGUCAGAUGGACAGCCAUGAAAAUGUAACGGGUUUUGGUAACGAGUGUCAAGUAGUACCAGAUGCCGAGGGAGUCGACGGCGAUCUGGGCGCCCUGGAGGUGGCCGGUGAGGACGGUGAUCAUGCCGAUGUACCAGAUCUCGAGGCAGAGCAUGACGGCGGACUCGAGCGAGAGGCGGACGAAGGCCCACAUGUCGCUGAACGCGGCCGCGGACCAGCCCCGCCAGCCGUCCCGGCACCAGCCGACGAUGUAGGCGGCCUGGGCGAGCGCGAUGGCCCAGAGCGAGACGUCGUAGGCGGCGGCGGCGCCGGGGAGGCCCCGGCCGAGGACGGCGACGAGGAGGUAGGUGAGCGCGGCGUGGAAGCCGAGCCCGGCCACGCCGACCCAGGCCAGCACCAGCACCUUGCGCUGCGCCUGCAGGAACUUGGCGGUGGGGAAGUUGACGGCGAAGGAGAGCGCGCCGGGCAGGAUGCGGAGCGCGAACCGCGCCGCCUCGCGCGCCACGGCGGCGUCCUGGCCGAUGGCGAGGAGCAGCGGCUCGGCGAGGGCGUAGAAGGGCACCAUGAGGAGGGAGGCGGCGAUGAGCACGAUCCAGGAGCGCUGCAGGUAGACGCCCAGCAUGGCCACCUGGCCGGCGCCGAACGCCUGCCCGCACAGCGUCUCCAGCGCGCUCCCCAUGCCCAGCUGCAUGCAUGCCGGUGCCGGUCAGCAAUGGCGCCGGGGAGAAGAGAGGGGAGGAGGAGAGGAGAUGGGUGGGGGGUGGGCACGUACGAGGAAUCCGAAGGAGAAGGUGGAGAAGACGGAGAGGCCUAUGGAGGCGGCGGCGAGGGGCAGGUUGCCGAGGUGGCCGACGAAGGCGGUGGUGACGGAGCUGACGGCGAAGAGGCUGAGCGUGGCGAUGGCGAUGGGCGUGCCGAUGCCCCACAGGCGCCGCGACUCCUCCCAGACCAUCCGCGCCGCCUCCCCCGCGGUGCGCACCGCCGCCGCGUCGUCGCCGCCGGUCCCCAUCGUCGGCAGGUUCGCUGCAGCAGCUGUCAGCGGUCUGCGUCGGCCCUCGGCUAUCCAUCCAGGUAUCUAUACUCCACGCUCCGAGGAGGGAACGGAGGGCGACCGCCGGUAGGUAACAGCUACCCGCGCGCGCGCGAGCGAGAGUACCUACUACCUACCCGUUGCGCGCGCGCGCGUGCACGGGCGUUUGUCGAGACAUCGAACAGAUCCUUAGAUAGGAUAGGAUGCAUGUGUUUAUCUCUUGAGCGGCAUCUGUGA